AAAGUUUCCUUCGGGGAACAAGUAGAGUGGCGCACGGGUGAGUAACACGUAGGUAAUCUACCUUUGGAUGGGGAAUAACAACCGGAAACGGUUGCUAAUACCGCAUAAUGCAGCGGCACCUAAUGGUGACAGUUGUUAAAGCGGGGGAUCGAAAGACCUCGCGUCUGAAGAGGAGCCUGCGGCGGAUUAGCUAGUUGGUAAGGUAACGGCUUACCAAGGCAAUGAUCCGUAGCCGGCCUGAGAGGGCGGUCGGCCACACUGACACUGACAUACGGGUCAGACUCCUACGGGAGGCAGCAGUCGGGAAUUUUGGGCAAUGGGCGAAAGCCUGACCCAGCAACGCCGCGUGAAGGAUGAAAUCCCUCGGGAUGUAAACUUCGCAAGAACGGGAAGAAUAAGUAAGGGUUAACACCUCUUACGAUGACGGUACUGUUUGUAAGCUCCGGCUAACUCCGUGCCAGCAGCCGCGGUAAUACGGGGGGAGCAAGCGUUGUUCGGAUUUACUGGGCGUAAAGGGCGCGUAGGCGGCCACCGCAAGUCGGUUGUGAAAUCUCUGGGCUUAACCCAGAAAGGUCAACCGAUACUGCGGGGCUAGAGUGCAGAAGGGGCAACUGGAAUUCUCGGUGUAGCGGUGAAAUGCGUAGAUAUCGAGAGGAACACCUGCGGCGAAGGCGGGUUGCUGGGCUGACACUGACGCUGAAGUGCGAAAGCUAGGGGAGCGAACGGGAUUAGAUACCCCGGUAGUCCUAGCCUUAAACGAUGAAUGCUUGGUGUCUGGGGUUUUAUAGUCCCCGGGUG
rnacentral:rRNA from 1 species